rnacentral:tRNA from 1 species
UCCCGUGUAGCUCAGUCGGUAAAGCAUCUGCCUGCAGUGCAGGAGACCUGGGUUCAAUUCCUGGGUCAGGAA